AGUGAGCAGUGCCAAAGUACUAGGUGUUACCAUAUCCAACUCCCUACAAUGGGUGGAUCAUAUAAAUAAUGUUAUAAAGAAGGCAAAUAAACGCUUGUAUUUCCUGGUUUUGCUCAAGCGCGCUGACGUCCCUGCUCGUGAUAUCAUCAACUUCUACAACACUUGCAUCAGACCCGUACUUGAGUAUUGUGCUCCCGUGUUUCAUCAUGCUCUCCCAGGAUAUUUGUGUGACGAUCUUGAACGCAUUCAAAAGCGUGCGUUAUCGAUUAUAUCUCCGGGACUAUCCUAUAUGGACAAUCUCACUGUACACGAUAUCAGUACUUUGAAAGACAGGCGCCAGAAACUUUGUAAGAAACUUUUCCAAACAGUUGUGUCCGAUGCUGAUCACAAGCUUUACCAUCUUCUGCCGCCCUCAAAGACAUCAGCCUAUAACCUAAGAAGACUGCGUCGUUUUGACUGUCCUGCUACACGAACAAAUCGUUUUAGUAAUUCUUAUAUUCUGUCAAUGUCAAAAGAGUAGUUUAUAAACGAUACCAUACAGUGGGGAUCAGAUUUGACUUCCCCUACCACUUCCGCUGCUUAUCGCUGUUUUGUUAUGCAUGUGAUUAGUUAAUUUAGUAGUCUGAAUGUUUCUGAUUAGUUCCUAGUCCUUUUCGGUAGCAGUGGUGGUGGUGGAGGUCGGAUCUGAACUUCGCUACCAACGUUUUACAAGUACAUAUUUAUUGAUAUGUGUAUGUUUGUAUGUAUGUAUGUGAGAUGUACAUAUUAUUUUUGUAAAUUUUACGCAAUUCAGCUUUUGUAGGCUGCUAUGUAAAAUCA